GGCGCUGUAGCAUAACGGAAGUGCAGCGGUCUCAUAAGCCGCCGGCGCAGGUUCGACACCUGCCAGCGCUA
rnacentral:tRNA from 1 species